rnacentral:lncRNA from 1 species
UGGACGGUCUAUUUCUUGUUAAUCCAACGGAGUAAUACAAAAUUGAUGAAAAUAUGACCGUUAUGCAGAGCCUAUUUAUGACCCUGGAUCUUCAAAGAGAGGCACUGACCGCCGUCUUAUGUUUUUUCUAUCAGCCUUCUGAGCGAUGAUUCUUGGGGUUUUCUGUCAAGAAGAAAUAGAGAGAGUAUUCUUGGGGUUCAGGUUUCAAUGGAUUCUGUUUUUGCCAAUGAAUCAUGCUAUUUGUACAAAUUAGGUUGACAAACUUGGUUUACAAACUAUGUGUUGUCAACAUCUAUGCCAAUUAUUUCAAAAACAGUUUUUCAAAUCAAUGAUGACUUGGAUUUUUGUCAGCACAUAGUUUGUAAAUUAGUUUUGUAAAUAAACUUUGUACAAGUAGAUUAAUUCUUUUGCCAAUUGGCUGAGGAUUUUCACCGAAAUUCAAAGUUUUCAGCAAUUGUGUAACUUGUUCUAUCCUGUUUCUAUAAUUUCUUCACCUUUACAAUAAUUUUUUUUGUUGGUUCAUUAGGAUGAGUCUUGUAAGAUAUUUUCUGCGUCGAAUUGGUGAUCAAUUUUGGGUCUCACUGGAUUUUAUUAAUGUAAAUUCUCUGAAUUUUUGCUGGAUCAUUAAUUGUUGUAUUAGGUGUUUCCUCUUCAUUGAAUAUAUGAUUAUUUUAGCAAUUGCGUACCUAUAGUGAUAAUGUUCUCUAUUGUUUGUGUAAUUCCUUUGUCUUUAUAGUAACUUUCUUUGUUGGUGCAUUUGGAUGGAUCUUGAAGGAUUUAUCCUUUUGGGUUGAUAAUCAAUUGAAUUUUUUUCUGUGAAAUAUACGAGGGCUGAAUCAAUAGAAUAUGGUUUUGUUUUGUUGUUGGGUUUCCUUCACAAAUUAUAUAUGCUUACUUCAGUAAUUAUUGUGAGGGAUAAUGUUCUCUUUGUUUUUUAAUUUUUAUAUCUUUAUGAAUAUGUACUUUGUGUUGGUGUAUUGGGAUGAAUCUUGAAGGAUUUCUCCUGGGUUCAAUUUUCGGUUCACUGGAUAUAAACUUGGGAAUUCUCUGUGGGUCUUGUUGAAUUUUUAACGGAAUUUGAGCUUUUUGUGUUUGGAUUGACUAUAACUGGUAAGUUAUGGAUUUUCUUUUUAUUUUCUGAACUGUUAUUUUAACAAUUAAGUUUCUCAGUGUGAUAAUGUUCUCUUUGUUUAUGUACUUCCUGUGUCUUUAUGAUUACAUUCUUUUUGGUACAUUUGGAUGAAUAUUGGAGGAUCUUUUGUGUCUCUUGUUCUUCAGAUGAUGCUGAGUGUUGGAUUUCACUAGAUUUGAAUCUGUGGAUUCUUUGUGGGUUGAUAUUUCAAUGGGAUUUGUGCUUUUUGUGCAGUUUGUGGUUUCUUUUUUAUUUUAGAAAUUAUAACACUCUUCGUUUCUAUAAUUCCAUUGUGUUUAUGAGUCACUCUGUUUGUUGCAUUUGGAUGAAUUUUGAAGUUUUUAUUACUAUUUAUUUAUUUAUUUUUGGAUUGUGCUCUUUGGAGCGAUGAUCAAUAUUGGAUUGUGCUUCAUUGGAAUUUUUUUAUGUUUUCUGUGAGUUGAAUCCUCAAUAUGUAGCGUUUGUUUUAUGUGUAUGGUUCCUUUUUGUCAAUAGAAAUGACUUGUUUCCACGCUCAAAUGGGAAAGGAAGUCAGUCUAGAGCAAGAGGAUCAACUAGAACCAAACUUCUUUGCUGCUUAUGUUAGCAAGGGGAUCAACUAGAAUCAAACUUCUUUCUGCUUAUUCUAUUUGUGCUCUCGCAUGUGUUUGGUUUCAAAUUAGUUAGGAAGAGAGAGGUAUAUCAGAGAGAUCAUGAGAAUGAAUUCAGAUUUUUUGUCUGAUGAAUUAUGAUCCCUUAAUCUCUCCUUGUGUUUGCCUCAUCAUUCUUCUUAAUUUCUCUUCGUCUGUUCUACAUCUGGUUUGUGAUUUAGGUUGGGCUUUAAAUGAGCGAGCUUCGACCAUUACACAUUUCCAUUUUAUGCAUGGUUCCAGCUGUCAAGUUUUCAGAGUUUUGUUUAUCUCUAUAAUUUCAUGUAUAUGACUUUCUUCGUUAGGAUGAAUCUAGAAGGAUCUUUUUUGCGUUUUGUUCUUUGGUCUCGCUGAUGGUCAGCUUUUAGUGUUGGGACUGAGAAGGAUUUUUUUUAUCAACAUGAAUUGAUCAAUCUUCCAAUGUCGGAUUCACUGAGAAAGGGUUUCAUUGGAUUUGUUUCUAUAAAUCCUGUCAGUUUUUGUUGAUUUUUUUGAUGGAAUCUGUGCUUUCUAUUUAAGUUUAUUGGAAUGAUAUCCUGAUGAAAUUCUCUGCACAUUCCAUUACUGAUGUUUUCAUUUUUCUAGUUGAUAAUAUUUCAGAGUUCAGUUUUUCUGCUAAUGAUAUUCUAGCAGAAGCUAUGCAUGAUUUAUGGACAAUGGUGCGCACAUGUUUAGCAGAUUCAACUCGNGAAGAAUUUUUAAUGUGAAUCUUAUUGAUGGGAAAGUACACUUACUUUUGAAGACUUACGACAUUUCAUGUUUCAACAACUUUUUUUGGAUAUGCUUUUCACCUAUUCAAGAACUCAAC